rnacentral:rRNA from 1 species
UACGUAGGGGCCGAGCGUUGUCCGGAGUUAUUGGGCGUAAAGCGCGCGCAGGCGGCCUCGCGCGCCCGACGUGAAAGCCCCCGGCUUAACCGGGGAGGGUCGUUGGGGACGGCGGGGCUUGAGGGCGGGAGAGGGUGGUGGAAUUCCCGGUGUAGUGGUGAAAUGCGUAGAGAUCGGGAGGAACACCCGUGGCGAAGGCGGCCACCUGGGGCCGACCCUGACGCCUGGAGGCGCGAAGGCGUGGGGAGCGAACGGGAU